AUACUCUGGUUUCUCUUCAGAUCGUAUAAAUCUUUCGCCUUUUACUAAAGAUUUCCGUGGAGAGGAACAUUUAUGAGUUUCUACCCAAUUUUUUGAGGCUUCACUUCCGUGAAGCU
rnacentral:snRNA from 1 species